rnacentral:rRNA from 1 species
CUUGGUAGUCAUAGCGCUUUGGAACCACGUCUUCCCAUAUCGAACAGAAUUGUGAAACGAAGCUGCGCCAAUGAUAGUGUGCAUUCGCAUGUGAAAGUAGGUUGCUGCCAAGU